rnacentral:misc_RNA from 1 species
CUCAAACUGACCUCUUGUUUACCCUUACUUAGUGGUCUGUCGAGAACAUUAGAGUAUUGCUUGAUCUUGCCUACUCCGAUCAUAUUUAGCUACUAAUGUUCUCCCGCUUUAACGUUCUCUGUCUAUUGAAGGAAGUUUGGAUAAAACCGGAGGAAAAUUUCCCCGGUGAGUAGGUUCUGCAAAAUCUGUUUGGCCGCUAAGAAAUUCUGGGAACAGAAAUAAGAGGCGCGGCGUACUGAGUUGGUGACAUUUGAGCCACACUAGACCGGCGGUUCAUUUUAUGUGUCUGACUCAGGUUCCU